GGCGACGUAGCCAAGUGGUUAAGGCAAUGGCUUGCAAAACCAUAUUCUCUGGUUCGAAUCCAGACGUCGCCU
rnacentral:tRNA from 1 species